rnacentral:rRNA from 1 species
GACGAACGCUGGCGGCGUGCUUAACACAUGCAGGUCGAACGGAGAGGCCCUGCUUUUGUGGGGUGCUCGAGUGGCGAACGGGUGAGUAACACGUGAGUAACCUGCCCUUGACUUUGGGAUAACUUCAGGAAACUGGGGCUAAUACCGGAUAGGAGCUCCUGCUGCAUGGUGGGGGUUGGAAAGUUUCGGCGGUUGGGGAUGGACUCGCGGCUUAUCAGCUUGUUGGUGGGGUAGUGGCUUACCAAGGCUUUGACGGGUAGCCGGCCUGAGAGGGUGACCGGCCACAUUGGGACUGAGAUACGGCCCAGACUCCUACGGGAGGCAGCAGUGGGGAAUAUUGCACAAUGGGCGGAAGCCUGAUGCAGCAACGCCGCGUGCGGGAUGACGGCCUUCGGGUUGUAAACCGCUUUCGCCUGUGACGAAGCGUGAGUGACGGUAAUGGGUAAAGAAGCACCGGCUAACUACGUG